rnacentral:rRNA from 1 species
AGGUGCUGCAUGGCUGUCGUCAGCUCGUGUCGUGAGAUGUGGGUUAAGUCCCGCAACGAGCGCAACCCUUAUCACUAGUUGCCAUCACGUAAUGGUGGGCACUCUAGAGAAACCGCCCCGGAUAACGGGGAGGAAGGUGGGGAUGACGUCAAGUCCUCAUGGCCUUUAUGUCCAGGGCUACACACGUGCUACAAUGGGUGGUACAAACCGUCGCAAACCCGCGAGGGGGAGCUAAUCGGAAAAAGCCAUCCUCAGUUCGGAUUGGAGUCUGCAACUCGACUCCAUGAAGCUGGAAUCGCUAGUAAUGGCGCAUCAGCUACGGCGCCGUGAAUACGUUCCCAGGCCUUGUACACACCGCCCGUCACAUCAUGAAAGCCGUUUGUACCCGAAGUCACUGUGCUAACCGCAAGGAAGUAGGUGCCGAAGGUAUGAAUGGUGAUUGG